ACGAUGACAUCGCGCACGCACCCGCAGUCAGAUAAGGUUAACAGUGCUAGGCAUGUUUCCCCCUUUUAUCUAUAGAGCUCUACUUGUAACCCUGUUUUCCGUUCUCCUCGUUAGUAUAGUGGUCAGUAUCCCCGCCUGUCACGCGGGAGACCGGGGUUCGAUUCCCCGACGGGGAGCCGUUUUUUUUUUCUUCCUGUUUUACGUCUAUAGGCUUAUACGUGCUAGUGCGAGAACGAUGGCAUCGCGCACGCACCCGCAGUCAGAUAAGGUUAACAGUGCUAGGCAUGUUUCCCCCUUUUAUCUAUAGAGCUCUACUUGUAACCCUGUUUUCCGUUCUCCUCGUUAGUAUAGUGGUCAGUAUCCCCGCCUGUCACGUGGGAGACCGGGGUUCGAUUCCCCGACGGGGAGUGUUUUUUUUUUUCUUCCUGUUUUGCGUCUAUAGGCUUAUACGUGCUAGUGCGAAAACGAUGGCAUCGCGCACGCUCCCGCAGUCAGAUAAGGUUAACAGUGCUAGGCAUGUUUCCCCCUUUUAUCUAUAGAGCUCUACUUGUAACCCUGUUUUCCGUUCUCCUCGUUAGUAUAGUGGUCAGUAUCCCCGCCUGUCACGCGGGAGACCGGGGUUCGAUUCCCCGACGGGGAGCGUUUUUUUUUUCUUCCUGUUUUGCGUCUAUAGGCUUACACGUGCUAGUGCGAGAACGAUGGCAAGGCGCACGCACCCGCAGUCAGAUAAGGUUAACAGUGCUAGGCAUGUUUCCCCCUUUUAUCUAUAGAGCUCUACUUGUAACCCUGUUUUCCGUUCUCCUCGUUAGUAUAGUGGUC